GUUUCAGUAAAACUUUGCUUACAAAACAGGUGGUGACCCAGAUGUGGCCCAUAGGCCAUGGUUUGCUGGCCCCCUUUUUAUAGCAUAAAGGAAGAUUAAUGCCUCCUUUUUAUUUAUAGGCCACCUCAGUGGUUGAAAUGAUUUUAGUGGAUCCUUGUGUUUUGGAAGACUCCCCUUACUUUUUCGCUGCUGUCCUAUCCAACUAUGUCAGAUUGUGACAUAAUCCACAUUUUGCACUGCUGCCCUUGUCCUUCAACUUGACUUCUCGCUGAUGGCUCAGAUCAACUGUCUUUGUGAAGCAUUCCACAAACUCACAGGCAGUUAUUUCCCUGUAUUUUGACAGUGCUUUGUCCAAACCUCUGUUAUAUAUCAUCACACUGGAGAAGAUGAUGUUUGCUGCCUUGCUCCUAGUUUUGGACUGUGAAUUCUUUUAGGGGCAGAGCACAUACCGGUGCUCAAUACACUAUUUUCAAUUAAUUAAAUGUUAAAUGGUUCUUUCUCCCA